UGGACGAACGUGGUGCCCCGGCCAUCGGGCGGUUAAUUUUGGGUGCGGCUGUGCCCGCGGCCUAUUUUUGGCACACGGAGGUGCCUCGCAAACUCUCGCGCCAUUCCGAGUCCGGCGGACGAAAUUGGCCAGCCCCACCCCCCAAGGCUAUAGCCCACCCGUUUUUGUGGGCUUUUUCCGCUGGACGAAAUUGGCGCCCCGGCCUUCGGGCGGUUAUUUUGGCCGCGGCUGUGCCCGCGGCCUAUUUUUGGCACACGGAGGUGCCUCGCAAAGUCUCGCGCCAUUCCGAGUCAGGCGGACGAAGUUGGCCAGCCCCACCCCCCAAGGCUAUAGCCCACCCGUUUUUGUGGGCUUUUUCCGCAGGACGAACUUGGCGCCCCGGCCUUCGGGCGGUUAUUUUUGGGCGCGGCUGUGCCCGCGGCCACUUUUUGGCACACGGAGGCGCCGUACAAAGUCUCGCGCCAUUCCAAGUCCGGCGGACGAUGUUGGCCAGCCCCACCCCCCAAGGCUAUAGCCCACCCGUUUUUGUGGCAAUUUUCCGCUGGACGAACUUGGCGCCCCGGCCUUCGGGCGGUUAUUUUUGGGUGCGGCUGUGCCUGCGGCCUAUUUGUGGCCCACGGAGGCGCCUCGCAAAGUCUCGCGCCAUACCGUGUCCGGCGGACGAAGUUGGCCAGCCCCACCCCCCAAGGCUAUAGCCCACCUGUUUUUGUGGCCUUUUUCCGCUGGACGAACGUGGCUCCCCGGCCAUCGGGCUGUUAUUUUUUGGCGCGGCUUUGCCCGCAGCCAAUUUUUGGAACACGGAGGCGCCUCGCAAACUCUCGCGCCAUUCCGAGUCCGGCGGACGAAGUUGGCCAGCCCCACACCCCAAGGCAAUAGCCCACCCGAUUUUGUGGGCUUUAUCCGCUGGACGAACUUGGCGCCCCGGCCUUCGGGUGGUUAUUUUUGGGUGCGGCUGUGCCUGCGGCCUAUUUUUGGCUCACGGAGGCGCCUCAUAAAGUCUCGAACCAUUCCGAGUCCGGCGGACGAAGUUGGCCAGCCCCGCCCCCCAUGGCUAUAGCCCACCCGUUUUUGUGGCCUUUUUCCGCUGGACGAACGUGGUGCCCCGGCAAUCGGGCGGUUAUUUUUGGGUGCGGCUGUGCCUGCGGCCUAUUUUUGGCACACGGAGGUGCCUCGCAAACUCUCGCGCCAUUCCGAGUCCGGCGGACGAAAUUGGCCAGCCCCACCCCCCAAGGCUAUAGCCCACCCGUUUUUGUGGGCUUUUUCCCCUGGACGAACUUGGCGCCCCGGCCUUCGGGCGGUUAUUUUGGCCGCGGCUGUGUCCGCGGCCUAUUUUUGGCACACGGAGGUGCCUCGCAAAGUCUCGCGCCAUUCCGAGUCAGGCGGACGAAGUCGGCCAGCCCCACCCCCCAAGGCUAUAGCCCACCUGUUUUUGUGGCCUUUUUCCGCUGGACGAACGUGGCGCCCCGGCCAUCGGGCUGUUAUUUUUUGGCACGGCUGUGCCCGCGGCCUAUUUUUGGCACACGGAGGUGCCUCGCAAACUCUCGCGCCAUUCCGAGUCCGGCGGACGAAAUUGGCCAGCCCCACCCCCCCAAGGCUAUAGCCCACCCGUUUUUGUGGGCUUUUUCCGCAGGACGAACUUGGCGCCCCGGCCUUCGGGCGGUUAUUUUUGGGCGCGGCUGUGCCCACGGCCACUUUUUGGCACACGGAGGCGCCUUGCAAAGUCUCGCGCCAUUCCGAGUCCGGCGGACGAUGUUGGCCAGCCCCACCCCCCAAGGCUAUAGCCCACCCGUUUUUGUGGCAUUUUUCCGCUGGACGAACUUGGCGCCCCGGACAUCGGGCGGUUAUUUUUGGCUGCGGCUGUGCCUGCGGCCUAUUUUUGGCCCACGGAGGCGCCUCGCAAAGUCUCGCGCAAUUCCGUGUCCGGCGGACGAAGUUGGCCAGCCCCACCCCCCAAGGCUAUAGCCCACCUGUUUUUGUUGCCUUUUUCCGCCGGACGAACUUGGCGCCCCGUGCUUCGGGCAGUUAUUUUUGGGUACAGCUGUGCCCGAGGCCUAUUUUUGUCACGCGGAGGCCCCUCUUAAAGUCUCGCGGCAUUCCGAGUCCGGUGGACGAACAUGGCCAGCCCCACCCCCCAAGGCUAUAGCCAACCCGUUUUUGUGGCCUUUUUCCGCUGGACGAACUUGGCGCCCCAGCCUUCGGGUGGUUAUUUUUGGGCGCGGCUUUUCCCGUGGCCUAUUUUUGGCACACGGAGGCCCCUCGCAAAGUCUCGGGGCAUUCUGAGUCCGGCGGACGAAGUUGGCCAGCCCCACCACCCAAGGCUAUAGCCCACCCGUUUUUGAGGCCUUUUUCCGCUGGACGAACUUGGCGCCCCGGCCUUCGGGCGGUUAUUUUUGGGCGCGGCUUUGUCCACGGCCUAUUUUUGGCAAAUGGAGGUGCCUCGCAUAGUCUCGCGCCAUUCCGGGUCCGGCAGACGAAGUUGGCCAGCCCCACCCUCCAAGGCUAUAGCCCACCUGUUUUUGUUGCCUUUUUCCGCCGGACGAACUUGGCGCCCCGUGCUUCGGGCAGUUAUUUUUGGGUACAGCUAUGCCCGAGGCCUAUUUUUGUCACGCGGAGGCCCCUCUUAAAGUCUCGCGGCAUUCCGAGUCCGGCGGACGAACAUGGCCAGCCCCACCCCCCAAGGCUAUAGCCAACCCGUUUUUGUGGCCUUUUUCCGCUGGACGAACUUGGCGCCCCAGCCUUCGGGUGGUUAUUUUUGGGCGCAGCUUUGCCCGUGGCCUAUUUUUGGCACACGG
rnacentral:lncRNA from 1 species